UGUAAAGAACCACAGAACUCAGACAAAGAAAUGAUCCUUUUCUUUUCUCACCUAAAAAUUGGACAAAUAAAAUAAAAAUAUGGAAAAUAAAAUCACAUCCAAGGAAGACUUCAGCAGCAUAGCACACCUAGGUGCCUAAGAUACUGCCAUCCCUGGAUGAACACUGCAUUCUAAACAGCAAUAGAAGGAAAGGACUGGCCAAAUUGAUACAUUUUUAUGGACUCAGUGAAGUAAACAUUGUAAACAGCAAAGUCAUACAACAAAAAUAUAUGACAAAUCUAGAACAUAUCUUGAAUACAAGAAAUUAGCAUGGGCUAUUUCUUGGAAUCAGAAGGUGAGAUGAAAGAAGAGAAAGUGACCUGGGAGAGGAGUGGAUUUUCCUGUGGUGUUGAGGGAUUGGCCCACUUCCAGACACCAGGCAGGCAGUAAGGGAACCUGGGCACCAUUGCUGGCAAUCUCCUCCUACCACAGAGGCAAGGAAGAUUCCAGAAUGCCACAGGAGAUCUGGCUUCCUGCGUUGUUAUGGGAACUGUUUCUCACAAAGGAAAUCCGGAAGGGACAGUCUCUGCAGUCAAAGAGAGGGAGGUGGCUGUUCUCCACCUAGGCACAGAAAAGUGCUUACUGUCUUCCGUGGAAGAUGUUUGCAGAGGUGAGAAGUCUUUGCUUCCCUUGAAGGGAAGUAGGAGGAGGCAUUGGAAGACAAAAUGGUGCCUCUUCUUUCCUACCACACAGAACUGUGAAGGGAUGACUUCCUGCAGUGCCCUGGGGCUCAUGUACCAAGAACUGCUCCAAAGGGCACUUCCAGCUGGGGACCUUCUAUACCGAUGCUCCAAUUUCUCUCAUCAAUGCUUGACUUCAGAAGGACCUUGCUGAGGAUCCUGAACACCUUUUCUGGGCUCCUUCUCUGGUCUGUUUCCCAGGAUCCUCUUCACCUGUAGAAAAUCUUUCCCAACUUAUUCGUUAUGCUCUUUGUUUCUUCCUUCACUCCUGUCCCAAAAAUCCAACUCAUUUUUCCAGUUUUAUUGAGAUUUGAUGAACAUAAAGAAGUUUCUAAUGACACAUAGCAUUCACUUACCUGAGGACCUUAGUGGGAAGCCUGGGGCCAAGGGCACGUGGGACAAGUUCCUUUUUGGUAAGUGAUGAUGGGUUGAGAUGUGUGAUUUUCAGAAGGUCAGAGGUCAGGCAGCUCUGCAUCUGCAGAUCAAUCCUUUCCAUUU